rnacentral:rRNA from 1 species
UGCGUAGGUGGUGAGGUAAGUCGGAUGUGAAAGCUCCGAGCUCAACUCGGAAAUGGCAUUGGAAACUACCUUGCUAGAGGGUUUGAGGGGGGACUGGAAUACUUGGUGUAGCAGUGAAAUGCGUAGAUAUCAAGUGGAACACCAGUGGCGAAGGCGAGUCCCUGGAAAACUCCUGACACUGAGGCACGAAAGCUGGGGAGCAAACA